GAUGAACGCUGGCGGCAUGCUUUACACAUGCCAGUCGGACGGGAAGUGGUGUUUCCAGUGGCGGACGGGUAAGUAACGCGUAAGAACCUGCCCUUGGGAGGGGAACAACAGCUGGAAACGGCUGCUAAUACCCCGUAGGCUGAGGAGCGAAAGGAGGAAUCCGCCCAAGGAGGGGCUCGCGUCUGAUUAGCUAGUUGGUGAGGUAAUAGCUUACCAAGGCCGUGAUCAGUAGCUGGUCCGAGAGGAUGAUCAGCCACACUGGGACUGAGACAAGGCCCAGACUCCUACGGGAGGCAGCAGUGGGGAAUUUUCCGCAAUGGGCGAAAGCCUGACGGAGCAAUGCCGCGUGGAGGUAAAAGGCCUACGGGUCAUGAACUUCUUUUCCUGGAGAAGAAACAAUGACGGUAUCUGGGGAAUAAGCAUCGGCUAACUCUGUG
rnacentral:rRNA from 1 species